CAGAUGAUAAUUUAAGUGAAAAUUUUAAUUUUGGAGAUUAAAUAUGUAUAUAUAUAAUACUUUUCUGA
rnacentral:tRNA from 1 species